AACACUGAUUUACCCUAAUGAACUGUACGGGAGCAGCUUCCCCACAUGAAAUCAAUGGGUAGAACAGGCCAGUGGUUGUCUAUGUAAUGACCACCCAGAAACAGCAGAGAGGGAGAGUUAACGCUGAGUAUUGAGCUAAUGGAGUGAUUCUUUCUCGAAAGCAGGGCCAUUGGAAAAUGGUUCUGAUGUGCCAUUUUAUUUUGAAAGAGUUGUAGGAUGAAUUUUAAGGCUCUUGCCCUGUGUGUGAUCAAAUCACAGAAUGGAUGUUCCUUAAGACAAUGGAACAUAUCGACAGGGCAGAACUAAAGAUGGAGGCAGGGCAGUUCCACUGAGCUAGUUGUCACACUUAAUUUGUUUCAAGUGUUGCAAAUUUUAUUACUAAGCAAAACAGUUAUAGGCUGCGGGAGUUGUCAUUAAACAACAGGUAAAAAUCUAAAAUCCUACAGGAUUAAAGCAUUAAAAUCGCUAGUAAACCAAGCAGUGACAUCUGCUGUUUUCUACACGAGGAAAAAGUGCCGGUGUGGUGCCCUCCCUGAAAGCCAAGAGGAUACAUCUGCACAUUGACUGACUGUCGAGACACGUUGGGCUGAUUAGCCUUGGAUACUACUCAAAGAUUACAUCUUGCAACUAGUGAGGUCUGGCCGACCGACAACCUGCCCGCUUGACCCCAUCUCCCCUCCCUUCUCCACACCAUCUCUGGAGACCUCCCAUUCCUCACUUCCCUCAUCAACUCAUCUCUCACCACUGGCUAUGUCCCCUCUGGCUUCAAAAUGGCCUGAGCCGCUCCGCUCUUCAAGAAACCAACACUCAACUCAUCUGACAUCCAAAAACUAUAGACCUAAUGACCUUCUUGACCCAAACCAGUCAGGCUUCAAGAUGGGUCACUCAACCGAGACCGCUCUUUUCUGUGUCAUGGAGGUUCCUACCUGGCAGGUCGUUCCUACCUGGUGACAUGGAGAGGAUCUGUGUCUGCACCCCAUAGUCUCACUACUGGUGUCCCCCAGGGCUCGGAUCUAGGCUCUCUCCUUUUACUUAAAGUAAAUAACAUAAUAAAAAAAUCCACAUACAAAUCUGUCAGUUUAAACUAGAGAUAUCAGUUUUUUUGCAUGGGCCCCUGCAUCCGUCUAUGUUGGACUUCUGCACCUGCAGUGGAAGGUAGCCGACCUAUAGCAGUGUUUUUCACAACCAGGACAUCUGUGAUAAAGUCAGUAUUAGAUGUCCAUCCAUGUCUUAGGAUGUCGGGAGAUGAUGUGGAAACCGGCCACUAGGGGCAACAGUGAGUGCUCUUACAUUCAAGUAGGUUUCGGUUAAGACUACAGCAUCUGUCUUUGGAGCAAUAUGUUGCAUGCUCAAUUCCAGUGAUAGGAAGUUGUUUUUGAGAUCUUUGUUUAGUCUAUUAUAAACCUUAACCCUAACAUUAUCAAUUUAGAGUUAAUUCCUAUACUUAACCUUAAACACUCGAAAUGUAAUGUUUGGAACAACUUCAGUGUUGAGUGAGUUUUGAAAUCAGUGGAAUGCCCGGUGGAAGCAGAGUUUUAUUGCAAGUCUGGAGUGAGUCAAAAAGUAAACACAGAAGGCUGUUUUAUAAAACACCUGUCACCGGAUAACAUCUUCAAACUAAGGGCAACCCUGGCAUCCAUUACAGAGAGGGAUUGUUGUUCAUCCAUGUAUACAGGUGAAUCUAGCUCCAUUUUACGAUAUUAUAGCGUUUCUAAUUUAGUUAAAGCGUAAUUUUAGCUAGCUAGCUAACAUUCGCUGUCUGGCUGGCUAGUUAAUAUUACGUGUAUGGGCUGCAUAGUAAUACUAGUUAGCUUUAGCUACCUUCAGAUCUAUGCAUGGUGGCAAGCUAUGACAGUCAGUUUGUAUUUCUAGUAGUAUAGGUUGGGAUUAUGAUUUAUUUUUUAGCUAGCUAGCAAACUACAUGUACAAAAAAAAGACUCCACUAUGCAAGUAACCAUGUCUCUGUUCCAUUUACACCUUCUGUAUCCUGUGCAUAUGACAAAUAAAUGUUUUUAUUUGAUAGUGUGUGUGUUUACCAGGGAACGUAAUGUGAAGAACAACGUUACCUGCACCAAAAUCAAAUUAGGAUAUAGGCCAAGGACUAGAUAAAGUGUAUUUUUACAACUACUUUUUGCUAUUACUUUCACCGUGUUUAGAAAUCUUUGGUCGUUUACUACACUUCCUUACUCACUCUGUUUAGCACAUGGCCUCACAUGUGAAUCCUUAAAGAUAUGGGUGGGGCUGUGCUGAGAAGAUGUAGACAAAGAAGAGCUCUCCAGUAGGUGUAACAAAAUAUUCAAGGACCAUUUUGUCAAGUGUAUCAACUUUCAAAGCGGAAUUA